rnacentral:misc_RNA from 1 species
GCAAACUUGGUCAUUUAGAGGAAGUAAAAGUCGUAACAAGGUUUCCGUAGGUGAACCUGCGGAAGGAUCAUUAUUGUACUAUAAGAUCGUAAUUUCAAACUUUCGCUUCUUUUUUUGAAAAUCUUCUGUUAAAAUGAAAUUACGAUCAUUUAGUACAUCCUUAACAGGAGCAAGAAUUAUAUUUAAAACCCAACUCUAUGAAAUCCAAUUAUUUUUUUACGCAAAGUAAAUUAAAAAAAGAUCACUUUCAACAACGGAUCUCUUGGCUCUCGCAUCGAUGAAGAACGCAGC